AUGGGGGGGGGGUGGCGUUUGGGGUUCUGGAGGAGCUGUCCCGGGGCUCCCUGGGUGUUUGGGGGGGGGGGGGAGCCGUCCCGGGGCUCCCUGGGUGUUUGGGGUUCGGGGGGAGCGGGGGGGGGGCUCCCUGGGUGUUUGGGGUUGUGGGGGAGCCGUCCCAGAGCUCUCAGGGGGGGGGGGGUUCUGGGGGAGCCAUCCCAGAGCUCCCGGUGUGUUUGGGGUUCUGGGGGGGGCAUCCCAGAGCUCCCGGGGUGUUUGGGGUUGUGGAGGAGCCAUCCCAGGGGGGGGGGUGUGUUUGGGGUUCUGGAGGAGCCAUCCCAGAGCUCCUGGGGUGUUUGGGGGGGGGGGGGAGCCAUCCCAGAGCUCCCGGGGUGUUUGGGGUUUUGGAGGAGCGGGGGGGGAGCUCCCGGGGUGUUUGGGGUUCUGGAGGAGCCAUCCCAGAGCUCCUGGGGGGGGGGGGGUGUUUGGGGGAGCCAUCCCAGAGCUCCUGGGGUGUUUGGGGUUUGGGGGGGGCCAUCCCAAAGCUCCUGGGGUGUUUGGGGUUCUUGGGGAGCGGUCCUGGGGGGGGGGGGGUGUUUGGGGUUUUGGAGGAGCCAUCCCAGAGCUCCUGGGGUGGUGGGGGGGGUGGGGGAGCCAUCCCAAAGCUCUCGGAGUGUUUGGGGUUCUGGAGGAGGGGGGGGGGGGUGUUUGGGGUUCUGGGGGAGCCAUCCCAAAGCUCCUGGGGUGUUUGGGGGGGGUGGGGGAGCCGUCCCAGAGCUCCUGGGGUGUUUGGGGUUUUGGGGGAGGGGGGGGGGAGCUCCCGGGGUGUUUGGGGUUCUGGAGGAGCUGUCCUGGGGUGUUUGGGGGGGGUGGGGGAGCCAUCCCAGAGCUCCUGGGGUGUUUGGGGUUCUGGGGGAGGGGGGGGGGGGUGUUUGGGGUUUUGGAGGAGCCAUCCCAGAGCUCCCGGGGUGUUUGGGGGGGGGGGGGAGCCAUCCCAGAGCUCCUGGGGUGUUUGGGGUUUUGGAGGAGCGGGGGGGGAGCUCCUGGGGUGUUUGGGGUUUUGGGGGAGCCAUCCCAGAGCUCCCGGGGGGGGGGGGGUUCUGGGGGAGCCGUCCUGGGGUGUUUGGGGUUUUGGAGGAGCCGGGGGGGGGCUCCUGGGGUGUUUGGGGUUCUGGGGGAGCCAUCUCGGAGCUCACAGGGGGGGGGGGAUCCCAGUUGAAGCCUCCUGGACUCAGCUCCCAGUUCAACCACCCCAGAGCUCCCAGUGCCUUUGGGAUCUCAGUUCCCUCUUCCCAAAGCUCCCGAUUCCCCUUUCCACGGGCCACCCCUGGGUGCUCCCUGUGCCCCCCCUGUCCCUGGUGUCCCCCUGACCCCGCUGUCCCCCCCCAGGCAGCAAUUUCGGGGGCGGGGGCAGCUACAACGACUUCGGCAGCUACAACAACCAGGCCUCGAGCUUCGGGCCCAUGA
rnacentral:lncRNA from 13 species